UUGGCAUUAGUGGGUACCAUGCCUGCUGGAGCUCUGAAGUCUGCCACUGUUCACGCUGUCACACGACUGGCUGCUCCCGUCCAGAGGAGCGCUGACGUUUUCGUCCUGGACCAAGUCUUUGGUCUCUUGCUUUUCACCUGAUGCUUCCUAGGACUUCAUGCCUUGACUUGUAACAUGGCUUAAUGGCUGGAUAGCUCCAUUUCUGUGGCAUCACAGGACUUUGGGGUCAGAGAAAUGAAGAAAAAGGAAUGAUAAAAAUAUAAAGGUGCCAUUGAAAAGGGCUUUUGUUGCAUGAAACUGACUCUUUGAGAUUAAUCCAUGGCUUCAGAUUGGACCAAAACGAUAUUGAAUAUAUCGAUAGUUCCCUAGUGUGUAUAGCUUUAUAGCACUGGCCACUACUUUGAAGUUUCCCAAGAAUUUCAGCUGUGAGGAGUGGAAAAGGAUGUGAUAAGAAAAGAUGUUGGAUACAAAGUCUGACUCCAUGAAGACACUUUCUUAGUGUCUUGGAACCUGGUUUUACAACAAGGCCACGGGCCCGAAUGAUUUCCACCUCCAGCUGUCCCUUUUUGUCCAUCAUGCCUACCUGAAUGUCACCUAAUGGCGUGUGAGGAAGAAACAAACAGUGAGAGAAAUGUUUGUGCCAAAGACCUUGGUUUAACAUUGUUUCAUCAUUUCC